UUGAUUGAAACCAAAUUAGAGGUACAUCACUGUUAAUGAUGAAAUUGAAGCUUACUUCCAAUCAAG
rnacentral:tRNA from 1 species